rnacentral:rRNA from 1 species
UACGGGGGGAGCAAGCGUUGUUCGGAUUUACUGGGCGUAAAGGGCGCGUAGGCGGUCAGCACAAGUCAGUUGUGAAAUCUCCGGGCUUAACUCGGAAAGGUCAACUGAUACUGUGCGACUAGAGUGCAGAAGGGGCAACUGGAAUUCUCGGUGUAGCGGUGAAAUGCGUAGAUAUCGAGAGGAACACCUGCGGCGAAGGCGGGUUGCUGGGCUGACACUGACGCUGAGGAACGAAAGCGUGGGUAGCGAACAGG